GUAGUAGUGGGUUGUGAAUGACGCACAGUGGAGAGCUCGGAUCUCAAACACUGUUUGUAAGACCGUCUUUUAGAGUUUAGACCAAGACUUUAUUAUUUACAUCAAGCUUCGCUUCUCUAUAAAAAAAGUGUGAAACAAGAGUUCUCUAUAUUAUCUUGCUACUAUUUCUAUUUCUAUUGCUAUACUUAGCAUGGAAUUCAAAAGUUUAGUGCCUCGGUGGUAAAUUAUUAUUAAUAAUUUUUUACCAACCGACAGGAGGAAAUAGGGGAAUGAAAAACUGCACUCGGAGCAGUAAGAUCGAAUCUAGACAUCGUCGAUUCAUCAAAUCUUUGUUUUUUUUGUGGUCUUUUUUUGUCGCCAAAAUUUCAUAGAAAAAGAGGAACUGCUACUACCAUUGUGUAGGACAAAAGUCUUGCCAAAAUUUGGACUGCAAAGUUCGAUUUGUCAAAACUACCCGCAUCAUCACAUCAAUGUUUUGAUACAAUGUAGAAAGUGGAAACAGAUAUUCUAAAAAUGACAUUAAAAUUAAUAGACAAUAUUAUCUAAAAAUAACAAAAUAGCACUGUGGCAAGUCAAAUCUUGACAAUGGCCGGCAUGCCAAAAAAUGACACAAGCCAAUGGAGAUAAAGUAAGUGGUUCCGUUCUAGCUAUAGUUAAAUUUGGUGCCAAAUGCAGUAUAAGGUUUAGUUAAGUAAAUUUAGCAAAUCAUUUUCUUUCUAUACCUCUCUUACGAGUCCCAAAAGCAAAAUUAUAAUGAUAUGGUGACAUAUAAUUUGAUAUUUUGUAAAAAAAUUAGAACAAAUUAGCAUCAAGUGGGUUGUAAAGAAAGAUUUCUAAGUUUACCAGUUAAAGUUACAUCAUAUUACAAAAAUAAUUAGUCAUAUACCUAUCAAACCAUUGGACAUGCUUAGAAGAAUUCAUUGCAAAGUAGCAUUAGUUAUAUUUUAGCAACAGGGGCCAUAUGGCCCUCAGACUUGGUCUAAAGAGAAUUUUUGUAGUGAAAGUGAAAAAAAGAGAGGUGAAAAAAAGGUGAAUUCCAAAGGUAAAGAAAAAAAAAAGAAGACAAUUUCAGAGAAUUUGAGGAACAGGGGUAGAAAUUAGGUUGGCCCUAAAAAAAGUCUCAUUAGAAUUUUUUAAAAAUAGUAAUUGAACACGAUAAAUUAAGUAAUUUAGUAUAUGAAACAAUACGUGAGUGAUUUUUAUCACUAUUUCAAAUAGAUUUAGUAAGGGCGAAGGGGUGUAAUUGAUACAAUUAAAUAGUUAAAGAGGUCACUAUUAAUCACUUUUUCGAUGAGGGGGUGAAAGUAAUAAAAGAUACAAUUUAGAGGAUGUUUUUGAAAACUUAAACCUAGAUUUUUUUGGAUAGUUGAUUUUUUCAAUUGUACUUAUAUUUUUAUCCAAAUAUCAAUUAUCUAUUAAAAAAUAUUGAGUAAAAAAAUAUUUUGAUAAAAUUUAUCUUAAUAAUAAAAAAGAGAGUAAUCAUAAAAAAAGAAAGUGUAUAAAUCACUAUCUAUUUUUUUAAUUUAUAUAAAUGCUUUAAUUUUUGAUUUUUUCUCAUUUUUAGUAUAAAAAAAUUUAUCGUUUGAUUAAAAUUUUAUAUUUUAAAAGUUUGAUAAAAAUAAACCUUAUUCUCGAUUCUAAUUUUAUUGCAUUCACUCCCACUUAUUAUCUAUACUUUUAUUAAGCGUCUAAUUUAGCCUCAUUUUUUUGUUGCUGUUGAAAUUUUUUAACUGUUUUAAUUUUCGAGUUUACUGGUCAGUUCCAAAAUAGAAACUUAUUUGCAUAUUGGUUUGUGAAACAAUUAUGCCAUCAAGUCCAACAAAUUUCCCAGUGCUACGCAAUGGGUUAUUCAAUUUUCCAAUAUAAAUUUAUCGAUGCAAGACAUGAGUUAUUCAAAUUUCUCAAUAUAAAAUUCGAUGCUUCGAUGGGACUAUGUGGGUCAGGUAAGCAUGGAUCUAUUGGACCUCGAGCAGCCCAUGUUAUAACUUGUGAGGGCCAUCUUCUAUGAGUAAAUUUUGUAUGGAAUUGAAAUUAAAUUCUUCACCUACCAAUAAAUAAAUAAACAAUAAAAGGGUUAAUUAAUUACGGGUCGUAGAUAUAAAAGUUACUAUGUGAUGCAUCUUGCCUAAUUUCAAAAUUGUUCGAGCGGGUCACAUUUAACUCAGACAAAAAUAAUCGUUUAAGUAAAAAUAAUACAUGUACAUUUAAUACAGCCAUAUUUAUUAUAGCUCCUAUUUUAUGGAUUACAUGUUAUCAUAUACGCUUUUCAUUUUGAUUUGUAACCAAGUUGCGAAUUUCCCAUAGAGUAUAUAUUCAACGUUUAGGAUUCGUGGUAAAAAAGAAAUAGUGGAAUGCUCACUUUUUUUCGUCAUGCCAUAAUCUUCAAACACGUUUCCUCUUUGGGGUUCGCGAUUGGACAAACGCUGGUUGGAUUGAGGGUUUGUAAGCAGGAGCGGAGCCAGAUAUAUUUAGUGAGUCAAAAAAUCAUAAAAAAAUUAUA
rnacentral:lncRNA from 1 species